GAUGAACGCUGGCGGCGUGCCUAAUACAUGCCAGUCGAGCGAACAGACGAGGAGCUUGCUCCUUUGACGUUAGCGACGGACGGGUGAGUAACACGUGGGUAACCUACCUAUAAGACUGGGAUAACUUCGGGAAACCGGAGCUAAUACCGGAUAAUAUUUCGAACCGCAUGGUUCGAUAGUGAAAGAUGGCUUUGCUAUCACUUAUAGAUGGACCUGCGCCGUAUUAGCUAGUUGGUAAGGUAACGGCUUACCAAGGCAACGAUACGUAGCCGACCUGAGAGGGUGAUCGGCCACACUGGAACUGAGACACGGUCCAGACUCCUACGGGAGGCAGCAGUAGGGAAUCUUCCGCAAUGGGCGAAAGCCUGACGGAGCAACGCCGCGUGAGUGAUGAAGGUCUUCGGAUCGUAAAACUCUGUUAUUAGGGAAGAACAAACGUGUAAGUAACUGUGCACGUCUUGACGGUACCUAAUCAGAAAGCCACGGCUAACUACGUG
rnacentral:rRNA from 1 species